UACUCGGUAGUAGUCUUCUCAGCUUGAGCUUCAGCUGGUUCCUCUUCUUCCUUUGCAGCUUCCUCUUUGGGUGCUUCCACUGGGGCGGCUUCGGCUUCUGCUUUUACUUCUUCUUCUGCUGCUGCAGCUACUGCUGCUUCUGUAGACUCUGUGCUUUCUUUGGUUUCUUCAACGGUUGGCUCAGUAGUCUCCUUGGACUCCUCCGCAACUGGCUCUGCUACUGUUUCCUCAGGAGUCUCUUCUUCUUUUUUCUCAACUUCUGGCUCCUCAGUCACAGCCUUGGGCUCUUCAACCACCUCCUUUGAUUCAGUUUCAACUGUGGCUUCAGUUUCUGGAGCCUGGGGUUCUUCGGAUGCUGCUUCAGGCACUGCUUCCUUUGGUUCUUCAGCAACAGGUUCUGUUGCAGGAGCAACAGCC
rnacentral:lncRNA from 1 species